AGACCAUGAUGGGGACAAUCUAAGGGGAGGUCAUUGAAUCGUUCCAUGCACCUAAAGAAUGUUUCAUUGGGUCUCUGAUGAAACUGGAGAAUGUCGUUCCUAAGCUU
rnacentral:snoRNA from 1 species